GUCGUUGCAAAUGCAGCGACCGGGCUUGGCCGCUCGACUAAACUUCAGGCGCAUCAGCGCUACCUAUUCGAUAAGCAGGCGCUUUUUU
rnacentral:sRNA from 1 species